AUUUUUAUUUAUUUACUUUUAUUUUUUUUUUAAUAAUUUAUAUUUUGAAUUAAAUUUAUAUUUUUUGUUUUAUUAUUUUAUUAUAAAAAAUUAUUAUUAGUAAUAUUAUAUUUGUACUGUUAAGGUUUAUUUUUAAAAAUUUUUUAGUAAAUUUUUUAUUGUACCUUUUGUAUCAGGGUAAAUUUAAAUAAUAUUAUUUAUUUAUUUUUCUCGAAUUAAUUUGAUCUAAAUUAAUAUGUUUUUUAAAGUUAUAUAUUUAUAUAUUAUUUUGAUUUAGGUAUGAAAUGUUAUUCGUAAAUUAAUAUAUCUAGUUUUCUAAUAAUUGAAUUUAAUUCAGCUAUAUUUAAUUAAUUUAUUUAAUUUUUAAUUAAUUAUUUAUUUAUAGUAAAAUUUAGGGGGAUUAGCUCUUAUUUUAUUUUAAAAUUUUUUUUUUAAAAUAUUAUGUUGGAUUUAUAUUGUUCAUCAUUUAUUAGUAUUUUAUAAUUUAUUAUUUAUUUAUUUUUAUUUUAUUAUAUUUAAUUAUUUAUUUGAAUUUUUUAAUUAAUUAUUUAUUAUUUGUAAUAAUGAUUUAAUUAGUAUAUUUUUAUAUAAAUAUUUUAUUAUUUUUUUUAUAUUUAUAAGGAACUAGGCAAAAUUUAUUUAUUCGCCUGUUUAUCAAAAACAUCUUUUCUUGUUUUUAUUUGAAAUUUUACCUGCCCAAUGAUUUAUUUUAAUGGCCGCGGUAUUUUGACCGUGCAAAGGUAGCAUAAUCAUUAGUUCAUUAAUUGUGGACUUGUAUGAAUGGUUGGACGAAAUAUUAACUGUCUCAUAAUUAUUAAUAUAAUUUAAAUUUUUAGUUAAAAUGCUUAAAUUUAUUUAUAGGACGAGAAGACCCUAUAGAUCUUAAUUAUUAAUAUAUUUUUUUGUUUUUGUUUAUUUUUUUAUGAAUAUUUUAAUUUUUUUGUUGGGGUGACAUGGAGAUAUAUUUAACUCUUUAUUUUAUUUUUCAAUUAUUAUUGUUUAUUUGACCUUUUAUUAUUGUUAUAAGAUAUAGAUACCUUAGGGAUAACAGCGUAAUUAUUUUUGAGAGUUCAUAUUGACGAAAUAGAUUGCGACCUCGAUGUUGGAUUAAGAUUAUUAUUAGGUGUAGUAGCUUAUUAUAAUAAGUCUGUUCGACUUUUAAAUUCUUACAUGAUCUGAGUUCAAACCGGCGUGAGCCAGGUUGGUUUCUAUCCUUAAAUUUUGUUUUUAUAUUAGUACGAAAGGACCAUAUAAUUUAAAUAUUUUAUUUAUUUUUGAUUAUUAUU
rnacentral:rRNA from 1 species